UCAAGGUACAUCUUGGUGUUGAAUGAAGUUGUUCCAUAUGGGCUCAUUUCUCAGGACUGAAGAAUGGGAUUUUGGACACAGAAGUGAUUUUGAUAAGUGACAGAAUUCUGCCGAAGGCCAGAGGCAAAAAGAGGCAAAACAAGGAACAUAAAAAUAGAGAAUCUACAAAUUAGCAUGUUAUAAUUACUCUCUUGCAUAGCAUUUAAGGACAUCUUUGAAAAAUCCACAAAGCUCUCUGGAUAA
rnacentral:lncRNA from 1 species